GGAGAGAUGGCUCAGUGGUUAAGAGCACUGGCUGCUCUUCCAGAGGACCAGGGUUCAANUCCCAGCACCCCCU
rfam:Neotoma lepida isolate 417 scaffold_915, whole genome shotgun sequence.